rnacentral:rRNA from 1 species
CAUUGUUGGAGAGUUUGAUCCUGGCUCAGGACGAACGCUGGCGGCGUGCUUAACACAUGCAAGUCGAACGCUGAAGCACUUUCGGGUGUGGAUGAGUGGCGAACGGGUG